UACGGAGGGUGCGAGCGUUGACCGGAAUUACUGGGCGUAAAGGGUGCGUAGGUGGUUGAUUAAGUUAUCUGUGAAAUUCCUGGGCUUAACCUGGGACGGUCAGAUUAUACUGGGUGACUCGAGUAUGGGAGAGGGUAGUGGAAUUUCCGGUGUAGCGGUGAAAUGCGUAGAGAUCGGAAGGAACACCAGUGGCGAAGGCGGCUACCUGGCCUAAUACUGACGCUGAGGCGCGAAAGCGUGGGGAGCAAACAGG
rnacentral:rRNA from 1 species